GUGAGGAAUAUUGCGCAAUGGAGGCAACUCUGACGCAGCCAUGCCGCGUGCAGGAAGAAGGCGCUACGCGUUGUAAACUGCUUUUAACCGGGAAGAAACCCCAGGACGUGUCCUGGGUUGACGGUACCGGAGGAAUAAGCACCGGCUAACUUCGUGCCAGCAGCCGCGGUAAUACGAAGGGUGCAAGCGUUAUCCGGAUUCAUUGGGUUUAAAGGGUGCGUAGGCGGAGCGUUAAGUCAGUGGUGAAAUCCUGCAGCUUAACUGUAGACUUGCCAUGGAUACUGGCGCUCUUGAGUGCGCUUGAAGUGAGCGGAAUGUGCCGUGUAGCGGUGAAAUGCUUAGAUAUGGCACAGAACACCAAUUGCGAAGGCAGCUCACUAAGGCGAUACUGACGCUGAGGCACGAAAGCGUGGGGAUCGAACAGGAUUAGAAACCCCUAGUAGUCC
rnacentral:rRNA from 1 species